CUGUGAGCUGCAGGUAGCACCGCCCCCACCCUUGGUGGAAGGGAAAGGACAGAGAGAGAGGCAGUGGGGAGAAGAUGCAUAAGUUGCACUUCAGCGGAGAGUCAAUGUCGGAGGCUUUGUCCAGCGACAUCCAGACACUUAAUAAACUCUCCAACCAGCAAUUUUCAGCGUUAACAGAAAUAAUCUUCCGCUUUGUUACAGAACCCACAGAGUCAGUACGAUUAUUAAGCGAGCUCAGUGAGUUCGCCUCACAGAAUGGAAUGAGUUCAGGCCCAUUGAAAAACAUUGUGAAAAGUGUGCUGUUGAUUCCUAAUGGUGCCUUGAAAAGAAAUUUGACAGCUGAACAUGUCAAAGCUGAUUUCAUUACUCUGGGACUAAGUGAGGAGAAGGCUGGAUGCUUUGCAGAUCAGUGGAAAUUGCAUUCUGCAGUAUUGUCAAGACUGGCACUAGGACAAACAAUGACCGUCAAUCAGUUGGUAGAUAUGGAGUGGAAGUUUGGAGUAACUGCAGGGAGCAGUGAGCUUCAAAAAGUUGGUAGCAUAUUUUUACAGUUAAAGUUGGUUAUCAAGAAGGGGAACAAAAGUGAAAUUAUUUACAUGGCAAGAAUGGGCUUUAGGCUCUGCAGAAAGGAAUGUGUGAGUUUGGAGCUGGACUUCCCCAUGAACCUCAACAUUUCCUGUGUACAUCCAAGCAGAUUGGGCCUGAUCUCCUGAAUAUUUCCAUUUUUUGGGUCAGAAUGAGCCAAACCAGCCCUGAGGAAGAUAAAGGUAGCCGUAAGGAGCUAACUUUAAGGAUCCAGCAGUUUCAGGCAUAUCCUUAAGGUUAAGGACAACUUGUUUCCAUUCAAGAGAAACAAAGAACUGCAGAUGUUGGAACCUAGAUGAAAGAAACAAAGGACUGCACGGAUUCUUCACGGAUGCUGCCUGGCCUGCUGAGUUCCUCCAGCAUCAUAGUGUUUUUCAUCUUGUUUCCAUUCAAUUUCUGUUUGUUCUGACGUGGCUGAAAAGUCUUACACUGAACAAACCUAAAACAAAACUUGCUUGUCUACCAGGACAAGGAGAUGUCCAUGACCAAAUAUUGCAGACUGGCACGUUCCAAAGUCCAGGACUACAUGAUGAAAGACUUACUGUACAUUGAUACAGUCACUGCAGAGACUGUAUGGGGAAGGCCACAGGUUAAAGCCUUGCCAUCAUUGUACACUGAGGGGCUAGAACCUAUGUAAAAACCCUAUGUACUGUUGUGUUAAGGAAGAUUCACAAUCAGAAUCAGGUUUAUUAUCACUGACAUAUGUCAUGAAAUUUGUUAUUUUGUGGCAACAGUACAGUGCAAGACUUAAAAAUUACUAUGUUACAAAAGUAAAUAGUGUAAAAAGUGGAAUAACGAGGUAGUGUUCAUGGGUUCAUGGAUCGUUCAGAAAACUGAUGGCGGAGGGGAAGAAGCUGUUCCUGAAACGUUGAGUGUGGGUCUUCAGGCUCCUGUACCUCCUCCCCGAUGGUAGUAACAUGAAAAGGGCAUGUCCCGGAUGGUGAGGGUCCUUAAUAAUGGAUGCCACUUUUUUGAGGCACUGUCUCUUGAAGAUGUCCUCGAUGGUGGGGAGGGUUGUGUCCAUGGUGGAGCUGGCUGAGUCUACAACCCUCUGCAGCCUCUUUCAAUCCUGUGCAUAGGAGCCUCCAUACCAGGCAGUGAUGCAACCAGUCAGAAUGCUCUCCACUGUACAUCUGUAGAAAUUUGCAAGAGAUUUGCAAAAGACAUCUGUAGAAAUUGACAUCUUGCUGAUAUAAUGUGAAUCUUGUAUGAAUGUGGAAAGUUCUGUCUUGUGCUCUGAGUGGUAACAUAUACUGUAUUAUAUAUUACACAUUUUAUGAAUAAUAUAUAAUUGUGGGGGAAAAGGAGUCCUAAGAGGGAUCCACAGACUCUGCACAGGUGAGGCAGAAGGGUGGGUUGCUUAUGAGGUUCUGUGUUCCUUCCACCAUUUUCAUUUAGUCUACACAUUGCUCCUGUGGAAGAGCUCUGAGGUUCUCGGUGCCAUCCUAGAUGCUCUUCCUCCAUUUCCAGCAGACAGAGGCCAGGGAUUUCUAAGAGCAGAUGAGGAUGUAACAUUUUUUCAGAAGGGCUUUGAUAAUAUCAUUGAAUCAUUUUCUCUGCCUUCUGGUAAUCUCUUAUCGUGAUGGAACUUAGGUUCUGGGAUUGGGCAUGUGACCAUUAAUGGAGCUGGUUGAGUAAUAAUGAGAACCUUGAUGCUGUGGAUGUAGAUUCACUAAUCCUGCCAUUGGAUUUGGAGGAAUUUGAAGAGACAGCAUUGUCGGUACCUCUCUAGUGCUUUGAAGAGCCUGAUGUAAGUAGUCCAUGCCUCUGAUAUGUGAAAGAGGGCAACAUCACUGUUGCCCAAUGGACUAUGAGCCUAGAGCCAGGUUUGAGGUCUUGAUCUUCGAACAUGGAUUUCCUUAGGUGGCUGCGCUGGUAUAUUUGGAGCUGGUUUUGAGCACUACCAUUGAUAUCUUCAUUCACUGAGGGAUAUGUUUGUUUAAGGACGCUCUGGACUGAGGAUACAGCCAAAGAAAUGCACUUGGGACCCUUCAGUUCCUCAGCAACAUAUGGAGAGACUACAUUCAGGCAGCCAUUACAGAUUUAUCAAAAUAUUCAGAGGAAGCCCACAGGAAGAGUGUCCAUCGUGGGUCACAAGCCUCAGAUCAUUUGCUCACUGGGACCAGAUGGAAAACAACUGCAGACCACGAGAGUGAAGAGAGAGCCAAGGGGGCAGGGAGUGAAGUAUGGGUCUGAAUACAUGGGUAGGAGGAUGUGUGAGGUAGACAAAGAGCAGAAGAAAAAGAGAGGCAAAUUUAAAGAAGAAAAAGAAGAAAGGAGAGAGGGCACUGAGUGGUAAGAGGUGCAAAAAAGAGGAAGGCAACGUUGUGAAGGGGGCUGAGAGAGGGAGGGAAAAGGUGUCAGGCGGUGAUCUGGAAAUAUUAGUGAGGGAGAGAGACUGAGGGAGGAGAACCAAGGUGUGCGUAUCUGUAUGGACAGAGAAGCAGUUGUGUGCAUGUUCAGGCAGCAAUAUCCAAUCUCCAAUUGUCUUUGACCCGCUUGCUUUGGACCAUGACCCCACUCUGUCAAGACAUCGUGGUAGGUGAAUUCACACAUAGGCCCUACUCAAGUUCAGGAUCCAGAACUUUAGAACCUGUAUGGACAAGCCCAGCAAUGACCAAUGUGGAUCUUUUUGUGGUCUGCCCUCCUUCAACUCAAAGCCAUUGGGGAAGAAUCUCUACUUCAUUGGUGGACUGAGAGAACAAUCUUUUUUUAAUCCUGCAAGUCUUGGUAAGAUGAAAGUUACAUUAUAGCUGGUCACCGGAAGCACACUCUUCUUAGCCAUUCAUCAGCCCUGACAAAAAAAACAAGGAGUUUUAAAUCACUGAAGGUAACAGAGGGUAAGGUCUGUCUUUGUCCUCACUCUGAAGGUCAGGUUCUGAUUACAUGAUGGUUUGUUCCCAUUUAAGGCAUAGAAAAUUCACUGUGUUUGAAUGAUCAAUUUCUGCAUGGCGACUUCUGUGUAAAAAUCUCUGAGAAUUGUUUAGCCUCUCCAAGAAUGGGAACUUUUGUAGCUGGGCAUUUCCCCUCUGGGACAAAAAGGAUCUGGGGGUUGUUUACAGCUGGCUUGUUCAUCUGCUGAACAUGGAGGAAGAGACUGACAGAAGCGACGUGACAUGGCAUCAUACUCCCAGGCCCAUUAUGCAAAUUGAAAAUUCUAUUUCCCUCUUUUCUCCCAGAAUCAUUGCAGCUUUCUCUGGGUGAUUAAUCUUUCAUUCCUGGAGAACACACAUAGUACCAGAUACGUACUUUACAAAUCUUAUACUCCAACCUUUCUGUUAUGUUUCCCUUCCACCACCAGCUGUAACAAGUAGAUUCUUUCCAAAUACUGCACUUAUUUUCAUGUCACUUUAUAAAAUGACCUGGCCGCAUACUUUCAAAAUUCUUAUCCACACUGUCUGCUUGUGUGCUAUUAAUUGCUCCUGCCAUUUCCUCCACUGUACAUGCACAAUGAACAAACAUCACGCGGCAGUCAGUGAAAUGUUUAUAGCUGUGCAUUUUGUAACUUGGUUCUAUUUGGUCAGCCAUAUAUUUUAGAAAUUGCAGCAAAGAAACAAAACAUUUUGCUGGAUCUCAAAUGGAAAAGCAAUUGUUCCAUGCUGAACUGUUGGGAUUUCUCAGCAUCAGUGUCACAAGGAUUCCCUUGUGAACUCACACUUGCUGACUGCUCUAUACUCCGUCCAUCUUGCAAACCAGCCUCCCAUUCAUUGACUCCAUUUACACUUCCCACUGCCUUGGGAAAGCAGCCAACAUAAUCAAGGACUCCUCUCACCCUGAUAAUUCUCUCUUUAAACUUCUUAAACUUUUAAACUUUUAUUUAUACAUCACGGUAACAGGUCCUUCUGGCCCAACGAGCCCGCACCGCCCAGUUACACCCAUGUUAACCUACUAACCCAUACGUCUUUGGAAUGUGGGCAGAAACUGGAGCACCCAGAGGAAACCCAUGCAGUCACGGGGAGAACGUAUAAACUCCUUACAGGACAGCAGCAGGAAUUGAACCCCCUCUCUCAUCUCCCGUCAGGCAGAAGAUACAAAAGCUUGAAAUUACGUGUCACCAGGCUCAAGAACAGCUUCUAUCCCACUGUUAUCAGACUCUUAAACGGACCUCUCACUUGCUAAAAAUGAACUUUUGAUCUCGCAAUCUAUCUCGUUGUGGACCUUGCACUUUAUUUGUUUUCCUGCUCUGCACUUUCUCUGUAGCUGCAAUGUUAUAUUCCGCAUUCUGUUUUCUUUUUACUAGCUCAGUGUAUUUAUGUAAUGCAUGAUCUGCCAGGAUGGCAUGUAAAGAAAUCUUUUCACUACAUCUUGGUACAUGUGACAAUAAACCAAUAACAUACCACUGGGGUUUUGCUGACUGUACUCUGGUGUUGGACUCCUCUAUGCAGCAAAGCAUGAACUGCCGUAAUUUACC